UGGGGAAUAUUGGACAAUGGGCGAAAGCCUGAUCCAGCCAUGCCGCGUGUGUGAAGAAGGUCUUCGGAUUGUAAAGCACUUUAAGUUGGGAGGAAGGGCAGUAAGUUAAUACCUUGCUGUUUUGACGAUACCGACAGAAUAAGCACCGGCUAACUCUGU
rnacentral:rRNA from 1 species